rnacentral:rRNA from 1 species
UACAGAGGUCUCAAGCGUUGUUCGGAUUCAUUGGGCGUAAAGGGUGUGUAGGUGGCGCCGUAAGUCGGGUGUGAAAUUUCGGAGCUUAACUCCGAAACUGCAUUCGAUACUGCGGUGCUUGAGGACUGGAGAGGAGACUGGAAUUCAUGGUGUAGCAGUGAAAUGCGUAGAGAUCAUGAGGAAGACCAGUGGCGAAGGCGGGUCUCUGGACAGUUCCUGACACUGAGACGCGAAAGCCAGGGGAGCAAACGGG